GCCCGGGUGGCUCAGUCAGUUGAGCGUCUGACUUCGGCUUAGGUCAUGAUCUGGCAGUCUGUGGGUUCGAGCCCCGUGUUGGGCU
rfam:Felis catus isolate Cinnamon breed Abyssinian chromosome C1, whole genome shotgun sequence.